GAUGAACGCUGGUGGCGUGCUUAACACAUGCAAGUCGAGCGAAGCAGUUAAGUUGAUUUCUUCGGAUUGAUUCUUAAUUGACUGAGCGGCGGACGGGUGAGUAACGCGUGGGUGACCUGCCCCAUACCGGGGGAUAACAGCUGGAAACGGCUGCUAAUACCGCAUAAGCGCACAGAGCUGCAUGGCUCAGUGUGAAAAACUCCGGUGGUAUGGGAUGGGCCCGCGUCUGAUUAGGCAGUUGGCGGGGUAACGGCCCACCAAACCGACGAUCAGUAGCCGGCCUGAGAGGGCGACCGGCCACAUUGGGACUGAGACACGGCCCAAACUCCUACGGGAGGCAGCAGUGGGGAAUAUUGCACAAUGGGGGAAACCCUGAUGCAGCGACGCCGCGUGAGCGAAGAAGUAUUUCGGUAUGUAAAGCUCUAUCAGCAGGGAAGAUAAUGACGGUAC
rnacentral:rRNA from 1 species